rnacentral:rRNA from 1 species
AAUCAACGCUGGCGGCGUGCCUCAGACAUGCAAGUCGAACGAUUAAAGCUCUCUUCGGAGAGUGUAUAGAGUGGCGCACGGGUGAGUAACACGUAAGUAAUCUACCUUUGAGUGGGGAAUAACAGUCGGAAACGACUGCUAAUACCGCAUAAUGCAGCGGCAUCGCAAGAUGACAGUUGUUAAAGGAGCAAUCCGCUUAAAGAGGAGCUUGCGGCAGAUUAGCUAGUUGGUAAGGUAAUGGCUUACCAAGGCUACGAUCUGUAUCCGGUCUAAGAGGACGGUCGGACACACUGACACUGAAUAACGGGUCAGACUCCUACGGAGGCAGCAGUCGGAAUUUUGGGUCAAUGGGCGAAAGCCUGACCCAGCAACGCCGCGUGAAGGAUGAAGUAUUUCGGUAUGUAAACUUCGAAAGAAUGGGAAGAAUAAUGACGGUACCAUUUAUAAGGUCCGGCUAACUACGUGCCAGCAGCCGCCGUAAG